rnacentral:rRNA from 1 species
CAGUGGGGAAUCUUGGACAAUGGGGGAAACCCUGAUCCAGCGAUGCCGCGUGAGUGAUGAAGGCCUUCGGGUUGUAAAACUCUUUCGACGGGGACGAUAAUGACGGUACCCGUAGAAGAAGCUCCGGCUAACUUCGUGCCAGCAGCCGCGGUAAUACGAAGGGGGCUAGCGUUGUUCGGAAUUACUGGGCGUAAAGCGCGCGCAGGCGGCCAUUCAAGUCAGGGGUGAAAGCCCAGAGCUCAACUCUGGAACUGCCCUUGAAACUGUAUGGCUUGAGUAUGAGAGAGGUGAGUGGAAUUCCCAGUGUAGAGGUGAAAUUCGUAGAUAUUGGGAAGAACACCGGUGGCGAAGGCGGCUCACUGGCUCAUUACUGACGCUCAGGCGCGACAGCGUGGGGAUCAAACAGGAUUAGA